rnacentral:tRNA from 1 species
GUGGUAGCUCAGUGGUAGAGUGCUUGCCUAGCAUGCAAGAGGCCUUGGGUUCAAUCUCUAGUUCCACA